rnacentral:rRNA from 1 species
UACGGAGGGGGCUAGCGUUGUUCGGAAUUACUGGGCGUAAAGCGCACGUAGGCGGCUUUGUAAGUUAGAGGUGAAAGCCCGGAGCUCAACUCCGGAAUUGCCUUUAAGACUGCAUCGCUAGAAUCAUGGAGAGGUUAGUGGAAUUCCGAGUGUAGAGGUGAAAUUCGUAGAUAUUCGGAAGAACACCAGCGGCGAAGGCGACUAACUGGACAUGUAUUGACGCUGAGGUGCGAAAGCGUGGGGAGCAAACAGG